rnacentral:rRNA from 1 species
CCUACGGGGUGCUGCAGUGGGGAAUAUUGGACAAUGGGCGAAAGCCUGAUCCAGCCAUGCCGCGUGUGUGAAGAAGGCCUUCGGGUUGUAAGGCACUUUCAGUGGGGAAGAAAGCCUUGGGGCUAAUACCCUCGAGGAAGGACAUCACCCACAGAAGAAGCACCGGCUAACUCCGUGCCAGCAGCCGCGGUAAUACGGAGGGUGCGAGCGUUAAUCGGAAUUACUGGGCGUAAAGCGCGCGUAGGCGGUCUGAUAAGCCGGUUGUGAAAGCCCCGGGCUCAACCUGGGAACGGCAUCCGGAACUGUCAGGCUAGAGUGCAGGAGAGGAAGGUAGAAUUCCCGGUGUAGCGGUGAAAUGCGUAGAGAUCGGGAGGAAUACCAGUGGCGAAGGCGGCCUUCUGGACUGACACUGACGCUGAGGUGCGAAAGCGUGGGUAGCAAACAGGAUUAGAUACCCCUGUAGUC